rnacentral:rRNA from 1 species
GAUGAACGCUGGCGGCGUGCCUAAUACAUGCAAGUCGAGCGAACAGAUAAGGAGCUUGCUCCUUUGACGUUAGCGGCGGACGGGUGAGUAACACGUGGGGAACCUACCUAUAAGACUGGGAUAACUUCGGGAAACCGGAGCUAAUACCGGAUAACAUUUGGAACCGCAUGGUUCUAAAGUGAAAGAUGGUUUUGCUAUCACUUAUAGAUGGACCCGCGCCGUAUUAGCUAGUUGGUAAGGUAACGGCUUACCAAGGCAACGAUACGUAGCCGACCUGAGAGGGUGAUCGGCCACACUGGAAGUGAGACACGGUCCAGACUCCGACGGGAGGCAGAAGUAGGGAAUCUUCCGCAAUGGGCGGAAGCCUGACGGAGCAACGCCGCGUGAGUGAUGAAGGGUUUCGGCUCGUAAAACUCUGUGAUUAGGGAAGAACGAAUGUGUAAGUAACUGUGCACGUCUUGACGGUACCUAAUCAGAAAGCCACGGCUAACUACGUG